AAACCAAGAAGAUUAAGUCAUGUAUUUUCGGUAAAAAGACAGUUAGGUAAUAAAAAGCUUGUUUAAUUAUUAUCGAGAAGUAAAAUUCGCAAAUAACACAGAAACUUAUUUAUAGCUAAAAAACUGAAGCUGUGACAUCCUUGAGGGAAACUGGGAUUAGAUACCCCAUUAUUCUUGGGAGUGAAGAAAUAUAGUUUACCAGAGUACUAUGGAUUGAUGACAUUUAAAACUCAAAGAGCUUGGCGGUGUUUUAGACUCUUUAGGGGAACCUGUCUCAUAAUCGACAAUCCACGUAAAACCUGACCUUUAUUUGCUUUCAGUUUGUAUACCGUCGUCGUCAGGUAACUUUUUAGAAAAAAGAAGUUAGCAAUAGAGUUAUUGAUAAACUUUUACGUCAGAUCAAGGUGCAGCUAACGUAAAGGGGAGGAUGGGUUACAAUUAUAAGAAUUAUAAUAACGAAAUAACACUGUUAAAUAAUAGUUAUGAAGGAGGACUUAAAAGUAAAAUAUAAUAUAUAAAUAUAUUGG
rnacentral:rRNA from 1 species